GACAGAGGGAGAGGGAGAAGCAGACUCCCUGCUGAGCAGGUGGGGCUCCCGCGGCAGGUGUCCGACAGCUCAGUAUUGGAACCAGAAGUUCAAUGGUGAAAGCUACAGCCACCGGAUGCCAGCAACAGAACUACAGGGGCAACCAGACCUUUUUACAAGUGCUACUAACAACGCGUCGACUCUCCUUCCUUUGGCCCUGCCACCGAUCACGGUUGCCAUCGCAUGUGCUGAUGGAACCACCAAUCCUCUGAUGUGGUUUCUGAGGGAAAGCAGCUGUUUGGCCUCAUGUUUACGAACACCGGGGUCUCCUAUCGCUUAUACUUGUGUUUGAAACCAAACACCUUGGCCAGUCUGUGUCGACCAGGGGUGGUACAAGAAGGCACUGUCCAUCUUGGGUGAGUUUUUGUACCAUCACAAAAGAGAAGACAGUCUUAUAAAAGAAAAUUAAACAACGCUGAGAGCCUAAAACCA